rnacentral:rRNA from 1 species
CACCGGAGAGGGAGCCUGAGAAACGGCUACCACAUCCAAGGAUGGCAGCAGGCGCGCAAAUUACCCAAUCCCGACACGGGGAGGUAGUGACAAUAAAUAACAAUACGGGGUUCUUNNNGAUCUCGUAAUUGGAAUGAGUACAAUUUAAAUCUCUUAACGAGGAACAAUUGGAGGGCAAGUCUGGUGCCAGCNNNCGCGGUAAUUCCAGCUCCAAUAGCGUAUAUUAAAGUUGUUGCAGUUAAAAAGCUCGUAGUUGAAUUUCGGGGUUAGUAGGUUGGUCAUGCCUCUGGUAUGUACUGGUCUCACUGAUUCCUCCUUCCUUAUGAACCGUAAUGCCAUUAAUUUGGUGUUGCGGGGAAUUUGGACUGUUACUUUGAAAAAAUUAGAGUGUUUAAAGCAAGCUAACGCUUGAAUACAUUAGCAUGGAAUAAUGAAAUAGGACGUUCGAUCUUAUUUUGUUGGUUUCUAGGAUUGACGUAAUGAUUAAUAGGGAUAGUUGGGGGCAUUAGUAUUCAAUUGUCAGAGGUGAAAUUCUUGGAUUUAUUGAAGACUAACUACUGCGAAAGCAUUUGCCAAGGAUGUUUUCAUUAAUCAAGAACGAAAGUUAGGGGAUCGAAGACGAUCAGAUACCGUCGUAGUCUUAACCAUAAACUAUGCCGACUAGGGAUCGGAUGAUGUUAAUUUUUUAAUGACUCAUUCGGCGCCUUACGGGAAACCAAA